GUACAAUGAUGACCAACUUAGGACACCUUUGUAGGUUACGACCUAUGAAAACAAAUCAUGUUCUGAGUACA
ensembl:snoRNA SNORD58 Small nucleolar RNA SNORD58